UGGGGAAUAUUGCACAAUGGGCGCAAGCCUGAUGCAGCCAUGCCGCGUGUGUGAAGAAGGCCUUCGGGUUGUAAAGCACUUUCAGCGAGGAGGAAGGGUUCAGUGUUAAUAGCACUGUUCAUUGACGUUACUCGCAGAAGAAGCACCGGCUAACUCCGUGCCAGCAGCCGCGGUAAUACGGAGGGUGCAAGCGUUAAUCGGAAUUACUGGGCGUAAAGCGCACGCAGGCGGUUUGUUAAGUCAGAUGUGAAAUCCCCGCGCUUAACGUGGGAACUGCAUUUGAAACUGGCAAGCUAGAGUCUUGUAGAGGGGGGUGAGAAUUCCAGGUGUAGCGGUGAAAUGCGUAGAGAUCUGGAGGAAUACCGGUGGCGAAGGCGGCCCCCCUGGACAAAGACUGACGCUCAGGUGCGAAA
rnacentral:rRNA from 1 species